AGAUUGAACGCUGGCGGCAUGCCUUACACAUGCAAGUCGAACGGCAGCACGGGAGCAAUCCUGGUGGCGAGUGGCGAACGGGUGAGUAAUACAUCGGAACGUGCCCAAUCGUGGGGGAUAACGCAGCGAAAGCUGUGCUAAUACCGCAUAAGAUCUACGGAUGAAAGCAGGGGAUCGCAAGACCUUGCGCGAAUGGAGCGGCCGAUGGCAGAUUAGGUAGUUGGUGAGGUAAAGGCUCACCAAGCCUUCGAUCUGUAGCUGGUCUGAGAGGACGACCAGCCACACUGGGACUGAGACACGGCCCAGACUCCUACGGGAGGCAGCAGUGGGGAAUUUUGGACAAUGGGCGAAAGCCUGAUCCAGCCAUGCCGCGUGCAGGAUGAGGCCUUCGGUUGUAAACUGCUUUGUACGGAACGAAAGUCUCUUUACUAAUAAAGAGGAUCAUGACGUACGUAAGAAUAAGACACGACUAACUACGUACG
rnacentral:rRNA from 1 species